AAUUUAAACCAAAAAUAUCCCGAAAAUAAUACCAUCAUCAUGAUCAACUAUUGAUCUUCUAUUUCAUUUUCUUCUUCCGAUCCGAUCCCCAUUGCAACCCACCAAAAAAACCAAAUGUCGAUUCCUCUCCCCCUCUCCAUCCUCAUCCUCCUAUCCGCCGUCCCCCUCGCCGCCGGCGAGAUCCGUGUCAAUGAAAUUCGCUCCGACAACCGGCGGAUCAUCCCCCUGGACGAAUUCGGGUUCACACACCGCGGCAUAUUGGAGCUCAACAUCACCCAAUUCUCCCUCUCCGGCACCAAACCCGACCCGCCCUCCGCCCUCUCCAACGUCGGGUUCUUCCUCUGCACCUCCGACGCCUGGCUCCAAGUCCUCUACCAAAUCGAGGACAGAGAAAUCAACUGCGUCCUCGAAUCCAACGCCAUUAAGAAGGUCUUCACCUUAGAUCUCCUCCCCUCCCCCACCGCCUCCCAAUACAACGACUCCUACACCGAAAUCGGCGCCGAUCAGUUCGCUCUCGUCUUCGCCAACUGCUUCCCCGACCUCGCCGUCUCCAUGACCGUCCGCUCCGCCAUGUACAACCUCGAAGGCGGCGCCAAAUCCAACCGCCGCGACUAUCUCUCCGCCGGUAAGACCGUCCUGCCUAGGGUUUACUUCCUUCUCUCCUUGAUCUACUUCCUCCUCGUUCUCCUCUGGAUCGCCGUCCUCUACAGAAAGAGAUCCACCGUCUUCACCAUCCAUUUCUUCAUGCUCGCCGUGCUCAACCUCAAAAUGCUGAAUCUCCUCUGCGAGGCCGAGGACAAAUCCUACAUCAACCGCACCGGCUCCGCGCACGGCUGGGAUAUCCUCUUCUACAUCUUCAGUUUCCUCAAAGGAAUCUCCACGUUCACGCUUAUCGUGUUGAUCGGAACCGGCUGGUCCUUCCUCAAGCCGUAUCUGCAGGACAGAGAGAAGAAGGUUCUGGUGAUGGUGAUUCCUCUGCAAGUGGUGGCCAAUAUAGCACAGGUAGUGAUCGACGAAUCUGGUCCGUUCGAUCAGGAUUGGAUCACCUGGAAGCAGAUUUUCCUCCUCGUCGACGUGAUCUGCUGCUGCGCCGUGCUUUUCCCCAUCGUUUGGUCGAUCAAAAACCUCCGCGAGGCAGCCAGGACCGACGGUAAGGCUGCUGUGAAUCUGAUGAAGCUCACUCUGUUCAGGCAGUAUUAUAUUGUGGUGGUGAGCUAUAUUUACUUCACGCGCGUCGUCGUGUACGCGCUCGAGACGAUUACGUCUUAUAAAUAUGUGUGGACGAGCGUUGUCGCUGGAGAAUUGGCGACAUUGGCGUUCUAUGUGUUCACAGGGUACAAGUUCAAGCCGGAGCCGCACAAUCCGUACUUAAUGAUUGAUGAUGAGGAGGAGGAGGCUGCCGUCGAGCAAUUGAAGCUUGAAGAUGACUUCGAAUUGUAACAUCCUUCCUCCUUUGUGAUUGAAGAAAAAUUUUUGAGGGGCUUAUGGGGUGGAUUUUUUACUAACUGUCGGAAUCUGCGGCUGCCGUUGUUCUAUGUAGAACUAACCUUGGACGGCGCCGACAUGACGGCAGUGACGUCGUUGAACCUCCAGUCGACAAGGUACCCCGGCCGUGUGGUCACGGGAGCCACAUCCAUGUCUCCGGCCAGCAUGGCCACAACACGGGACAUGGCUG